UCAGGACGAACGCUGGCGGCGUGCCUAACACAUGCAAGUCGAGCGAGGAGAUCCUCGGGAUGAUCCUAGCGGCGGACGGGUGAGUAACACGUGGGCAACCUGCCUCAUAGAGAGGAAUAGCCUUCCGAAAGGGAGAUUAAUACCUCAUAACAUUGCAGUUUCGCAUGGAACAGCAAUUAAAGGAGCAAUCCGCUAUGAGAUGGGCCCGCGGCGCAUUAGCUAGUUGGUGAGGUAACGGCUCACCAAGGCGACGAUGCGUAGCCGACCUGAGAGGGUGAUCGGCCACAUUGGGACUGAGACACGGCCCAGACUCCUACGGGAGGCAGCAGUGGGGAAUAUUGCACAAUGGGGGAAACCCUGAUGCAGCAACGCCGCGUGAGUGAUGACGGCCUUCGGGUUGUAAAGCUCUGUCUUCAGGGACGAUAAUGACGGUACCUGAGGAGGAAGCCACGGCUAACUACGUGCCAGCCGCCGC
rnacentral:rRNA from 1 species